AUUGAACGCUGGCGGCAGGCCUAACACAUGCAAGUCGAGCGGAUGAAGGGAGCUUGCUCCUGGAUUCAGCGGCGGACGGGUGAGUAAUGCCUAGGAAUCUGCCUGGUAGUGGGGGAUAACGUCCGGAAACGGGCGCUAAUACCGCAUACGUCCUGAGGGAGAAAGUGGGGGAUCUUCGGACCCCACGCUAUCAGAUGAGCCUAGGUCGGAUUAGCUAGUUGGUGGGGUAAAGGCCUACCAAGGCGACGAUCCGUAACUGGUCUGAGAGGAUGAUCAGUCACACUGGAACUGAGACACGGUCCAGACUCCUACGGGAGGCAGCAGUGGGGAAUAUUGGACAAAGGGCGAAAGCCUGAUCCAGCCAUGCCGCGUGUGUGAAGAAGGUCUUCGGAUUGUAAAGCACUUUAAGUUGGGAGGAAGGGCAGUAAGUUAAUACCUUGCUGUUUUGACGUUACCAACAGAAUAAGCACCGGCUAACUUCGUG
rnacentral:rRNA from 1 species